rnacentral:rRNA from 1 species
ACGGGUAGCCGGCCUGAGAGGGUGACCGGCCACACUGGGACUGAGACACGGCCCAGACUCCUACGGGAGGCAGCAGUGGGGAAUAUUGCACAAUGGGCGAAAGCCUGAUGCAGCAACGCCGCGUGAGGGAUGACGGCCUUCGGGUUGUAAACCUCUUUUAGCAGGGAAGAAGCGAAAGUGACGGUACCUGCAGAAAAAGCGCCGGCUAACUACGUGCCAGCAGCCGCGGUAAUACGUAGGGCGCAAGCGUUAUCCGGAAUUAUUGGGCGUAAAGAGCUCGUAGGCGGUUUGUCGCGUCUGCUGUGAAAUCCCGAGGCUCAACCUCGGGCCUGCAGUGGGUACGGGCAGACUAGAGUGCGGUAGGGGAGAUUGGAAUUCCUGGUGUAGCGGUGGAAUGCGCAGAUAUCAGGAGGAACACCGAUGGCGAAGGCAGAUCUCUGGGCCGUAACUGACGCUGAGGAGCGAAAGGGUGGGGAGCAAACAGGCUUAGAUACCCUGGUAGUCCACCCCGUAAACGUUGGGAACUAGUUGUGGGGUCCAUUCCACGGAUUCCGUGACGCAGCUAACGCAUUAAGUUCCCCGCCUGGGGAGUACGGCCGCAAGGCUAAAACUCAAAGGAAUUGACGGGGACCCGCACAAGCGGCGGAGCAUGCGGAUUAAUUCGAUGCAACGCGAAGAACCUUACCAAGGCUUGACAUAU